rnacentral:rRNA from 1 species
CAACUUGUACUGUGAAACUGCGAAUGGCUCAUUAAAUCAGUUAUCGUUUAUUUGAUUGUAACUUUACUACUUGGAUAACCGUGGUAAUUCUAGAGCUAAUACAUGCUGAAAAUCCCGACUUCGGAAGGGAUGUAUUUAUUAGAUAAAAAACCAAUGCCUUUCGGGGCUCUCUGGUGAUUCAUGAUAACUUCGCGAAUCGCGUGGCCUUGCGCCGGCGAUGUUUCAUUCAAAUUUCUGCCCUAUCAACUUACGACGGUAGGAUAGAGGCCUACCGUGGUGUCAACGGGUAACGGGGAAUUAGGGUUCUAUUCCGGAGAGGGAGCCUGAGAAACGGCUACCACAUCCAAGGAAGGCAGCAGGCGCGCAAAUUACCCAAUCCCAAUUCGGGGAGGUAGUGACAAUAAAUACUGAUGCAGGGCCUUUAUAGGUCUUGUAAUUGGAAUGAGUACAAUUUAAAUCCAUUAACGAGGAACAAUUGGAGGGCAAGUCUGGUGCCAGCAGCCGCGGUAAUUCCAGCUCCAAUAGCGUAUAUUAAAGUUGUUGCAGUUAAAAAGCUCGUAGUUGAACCUUGGGCCUGGGCGAUCGGUCCGCCUCACCGCGUGUACUGGGAGCCUGGGCCUUUCCUUCUGGCGAACCUCAUGCCCUUUAUUGGGUGUGCUGGCAAACCAGGACUUUUACUUUGAAAAAAUUAGAGUGUUCAAAGCAGGCAUUUGCUCGAAUACAUUAGCAUGGAAUAAUAGAAUAGGACGUGCGGUUCUAUUUUGUUGGUUUCUAGGACUGCCGUAAUGAUUAAUAGGGAUAGUCGGGGGCAUCCGUAUUCAAUUGUCAGAGGUGAAAUUCUUGGAUUUAUUGAAGACGAACUACUGCGAAAGCAUUUGCCAAGGAUGUUUUCAUUAAUCAGGAACGAAAGUUGAGGGAUCGAAGACGAUCAGAUACCGUCGUAGUCUCAACCAUAAACUAUGCCGACUAGGGGUCGGGCGAUGUUUUUUUAUGACUCGCUCGGAACCUUACGAGAAAUCAAAGUCUUUGGGUCUGGGGGAGU